UAUUACACUAUUACUCAAGCCUUCGCCUUAAUGCCUACCAAGGCACCAUCUCUCUCUCACACCAAACAGAAGGGAUCGAACAUUGAAACCUCAAAAAACUCGAAAAGGAGGGGUGAGCGAGCCGAGUGAACUCAGUAAGAAGAGGAGAUGGACGAUUACACGAGAGAGAUGAUGGACCUGAAAACCCUCGUAACUCGAACCCUAGAAAAGAAAGGCGUCCUCGCUAAGAUCCGAGCUGAACUAAGAUCUAGUGUUUUUGAGGCAAUUGAAGAAGAGGAUCGGUCAAUUGAAAAGGAAGAGGGUUUGCCUUCUGCGUUAUUGGGUAGCUGCAAUGAUCGUGCACAACAACUCCAUGCUUCUCCUUCAGGAAGGUUGUUAACUGCACUGAUAUCUGAAUACUUGGAUUGGGCGCAACUGGGCCACACAUUAAAAGUUUAUUUGCCAGAGUGUAAUUUGCAAAAAGAUUUUUGGAAAUCUGAGUUGAAAGAAUUUAGUAGCAAGAAUGGAUAUGAUCCUAACAGGAAUGGAGAAAGUGGUCCUUUGAUUUUGGAUGUUCUUGAAGGAUUCUUAAAAUAUGAGAACUUAUCACAAGCAAGGGGCACUGGAAGGAGAGUGACCACUCCCGAAAUGGAGUCUUUGUCCAAUUUGGAAUUCCGGAACACUCGGAGACCUUCUUCAUCAUCUAUUGCUGGAGGAUUACCUCCACUAGGAAGGCCGGGUCCUGUCUCCCAAGCCUCUGAUAGGAGAGCGGGGACCUCCGUAUCGGGCUAUAGAAAAGAUGAUUACAACCGGAGAUAUGACAGUGAUGAGCUUCCAGAUGAUGUAAAUCAUACUUCAGCUGCCUUGGAAAAUCUUCAGUUGGAUAGAAAAGCUUGGAAUCUGACCACUUCUUGGCGGAAUCAGCGGACUCAGAAGGGCAGGAUUCAGGUGGUAAAGGAAUAAGGCAACAGGCUGGCGAGGGGAAAAACCAAGGACAAUCUCAAAAGGGCUCUUACCAGUAGGCCUAUUGACUGAAGUUAUACGCAAACUCAGCUGUCAGUAACAAUGAAUCCCAUAUAGCCGGGCGUUCUCCUUCUAGACACCUAUGCAUCCAGGGGACGUAAUCACCGAGGAAGACGGCAGGGAAGAUCAUAUGUAACUGAAUGGUACCUUCUAAUCACUGGAUAUGUAAUUUGUUGUGUAUUUUAUUCACCAUCCAUGAAUGAGUUAUGUCAUCAAAUCAGGAUAGGAGAUAUUAUGCGAGGUUUUUAUACACAUCGUGCAUUUGUGUUUUAGUGGUUUGUAUGAGCUUUCUUUCGUUGACCCUUUACGAAAUUUCAAUUGAUUUCGCUUUUCCCAAGAUGUUUAAAGCUCUGGGGACUGACUGGUUAUUGCUA